AUGGGUUCGGCGGUUCAGUGUUGAUUCAAACAACAAACCUGGUUCGAGUUUGGUCAGGCUUAGUUCAGCAGGGUGUGUCUUCGAGUUCAGGUUCGGGAUUUAGGUUCGAUUCGCGGUCAGACGGCUCGGUUCGGUUUGACUUGGUCAAACCGAGUCAACUCAGUCAAUAAAUCGGUUCGGAUUCAGUUAAACUCAGUCAAUCAGCAGCUUCGUGUCGGGUUCGGGUCUCGACUUAGUCCAACUCAGUUCGACUCGGUCAACAUUCAGUUAACUCGGUUCGGGUUCUGGGUCAAAGACAGUCAACGGGACUCGGUUCGGGUUCUUCGGGACAAAAUGGUUCAACUCAUCUUACGGGUCAACACAACUCGAUCAACUCGAGCUGACUCGGUCAAACUCAGCGGGUCAACUCGGUCAACGGCGCGUUUAUUUCGUCAUUCCUAUGGAAUAUUGUAGAAUGCACGCUAGCGAGUCUCGUCUUGGAAACGACAUUAAGAAGUCGUAUAUAGCUAGCUUUACACAGGAAUAUUCAG
rnacentral:lncRNA from 1 species